CUUCUGGAGGACUGAAAAAGUUGAAGAAGGAAUCAUUGGAAACUGUUUUUGUCACUGUUCUAACUCUUCCACGGCCUUGUGCU